UAAAGUAGAUAAACUAGAUAAACGUAAAACACAUAUAGAUAGAUAAUUAGAUAAAUUUAUCUUGUGAACUUUUUGGAGCUAAUUUGUUUUAGGUUUCUAAGUGUUCUAAUUCACCCCCCUAAGGACGUCACUGUUCCUCACAAUUGGUACCAGAGCCUCAUGCUCUUGAUAGACUUAACAUCCUAGAGUUGUGAUGCCCAGGGUUGGGAUGGAUACCCAUAAUGCUUCACUUUUUGAUGGCACAAAUUUCCUCCAUUGGAAAAUUCUAAUGUCUUGUUAUUUACAAGCCAAAGGUAUAGAUGUUUGAAGAGUCACUGAGGAAGAGAUGAGGCAAUGCAUCACCAAUAAGAAUAGACAAUUAGAUGCAUUAACGAAAAAUAUUCUUUUAUCAUCUUUAAAUGUUAAUGUAUUUAAUCGUGUUUAUUCUCUCACCAAUGCACAUGAUAUUUGGACUAGUCUCAUUAAAAUUCAUUAAGACACAAAGGAUGUGUGCAAUAAGAAAUAUCAUGUGCUAGUUACUACGCUCAAUGGUAUCAAAUAACUACCCCAUGAAAAUACUAAUGAUAUGUACUCACGUUUGAAUAUUCUUGUCAAUAAGAUAAAUGAGCUAGGUUUGACGCCAAUUGAUGAUAAUCAAGUGGUGAGAAGAAUACUUCAAGCUCUUCUUCCCAAGCACAAGUUGAUAGUCUCCAUCAUCUACGACAACAAUGACAUUAAAAAAAUGACUCCAAGUCAAGUGCUUGGCAAGAUCACCGCCCAUGAGAUGACCAUGAACAUAGGGGUUGAAGCUUCUUCCUCAUCCGACGCCAAGAACCUUGCUCUCAUAAGCAAGCAAGCACCAUACCCACACAUGAAGGCGAAGAUGAGGAAGCAAGGGCAAGAGUCAAGCUCGAGCAAAGAUGAUGAAGAUGAAGAGAGCAAUGAAGAUGAUGAGCAAAUCACAUAAAGCUAUGAAGAAAUAGAUCCCAAAGUCGCCAAGCUCAUCUCUCAAGUGGGGAAGAACAUCAAGAAGAUCAAUCCCAAGAUUGAUAAAUGGAUCUCCAUGAAAGGUUUGGUCAAACAAUUGAUCACAUCAAGGAGAAGAAGACUAAGAGCAAGAGAGAGACAAGGGGAAGAGCCAAAGUAUUUGCAAGUAUAGGAAGAUGGGUGAGUGAAGAUGAAGAUUCAAGUUCAAAUGAUGAGUGCUUCGCCACCAACUCCUCUAACAGAAGCUCUUCCUUAAGGUCGUCAUCAUGCAAGCCAUCAUCACAUAAGUGCCUUAUGGCCAAAGGUAUGGAAAACAAUAUAAGUGAUGAUGAAUUCGAUAAGGAUUCUCCUUCCUAUGAUAAACUCCUUUAUUUGAUCAAUGAGCAACAAAGUGCCCUUAAGAAAAAUCAAAAGAGUUUAAGAAAUUCAAUCACAUUCAUGCUAUCUUUGUUUCUAAUUAUGAAUAAUUAUUGAGCAAAUUCAAUUUGCUAAACAAGGAGCAUGAUGAGCUUAAAGGCAAAAUUUGAGUGCAUUGAAUCUCAAUCUAAGGCCUUUUUGGAGCAAUCUAUCUCUCUAUUUAAUUUUAAUCCUAAAGUAGAUGUUUCUACUUCAUGCAAUAAUUUAACUGAUAUAUCAUGCUCACCCAUUUGCAAUGAGAUAUGUAUUGAGAAUGUUCUUGUAGAACCAUCUAUUGAACACAUUGCGCAAGAAAAUGUUGAGCUCAACCAAGAAGUUGAAAAGCUCAAGAAGGACUUGGCAAGAUUAAAGGGCAAGAACCAUAUCCAACCUCCUCAAGAUAACCGUGCAACCAUGGUGAAGAAGCUUGUGGAGUGGUUCACCAUGACAUGCUUCAAAUGUCAUCACGAAGGCCAUAAGUCCUUUUAAUGUAAGCAAGUUAAGAAGAAGAUCAUGAACCUCUCUAACAAGACUUCCAACAUCUACACCAAGCCCAACUACAAGAAUAAGAUCAAGAGCAACCACUACAAGCUAAAUAAAAGGGAAAAUGGCAAUGUAGUUGCACACAUGGUUAGGAGAAAAAUUGGAGGUCGAACCAACUCAUUUAGGUGCCCAACGAAGUCAUCACCAAUAUGAAGGAGUCUCAAUCAGUUUGGGUUCCAAAGAAGACAUAAAGCCCGGGGCUGCUAUGGGAUUUAGAGACUUGGCUCCAAAGAUAAAGUGAAGCUUCAAGCAAAGAAGCCAAGUGUAUAAGAUUGGAUGCUUUGAUGUAUAUCAUGAUCAUCAUAUACCCAAAUCCCCAUCCAAAGAUAAUGAGUCUCAUGGAAAAAUCAACACGUCCCCGGAGGUCUCAUUAUAUAUAUGCACACAUAAAUGGGGAGUUUAGAUCAUAUCAUGUGAGUUUCAAGAAUUAUGAUACUUGUUUGUCUCUUUCAAUGGAUAUUAAAGCCUUAUAACCUUACAAUUAAUAUAUUUUUCAAUUGGUAUUAUUUCAUAUGGAUCAUGAUUUAUGAAGCUCUCUCCUAUGUGAUCUAACGUUCUUCCUCAAAUUCAACAUAUGACUGUUGAUAAAUGGGGGAGUUUGAUAACCAAAGCAAGAAGCAAGAUACAAGAUGUCUAGGAAUGCCGAAGUUGACAAAGGAGGAGAAGAAGAAAAUACAAGAAGCAACAUGAGGCACCUAGGUUGACAACAGGGGAGAAGCUCUUACAUGGGUAUAUCAAGGUAGAUAGUGGCAAUGGAGAAAGGAAGAGCCACAACAAAGGGGACUAAAUAACAUGCAUUCAAGCAAUGUGGUAAGACUUUGUGCUCUUUACAAUUGGUAUCAUUUAUUAUUUGUCACUUGCUUUGAUUGUGUUAUCAUCAAUCACCAAAAAGGAGAAGAUUAUAGCGAAAAUGACCCUAUUAUGCCAUAAUUGUGAUUUUUGUGAUUAAUGAUAACAUAGUCAUUGGGAUUAAUAUAUUUGUCAAAAAUAUAUAUUAGUAGGUCUCAUGGAUACAAUACAUCAUGAAGCCACUACAGC